rfam:Ixodes scapularis strain Wikel colony gcontig_1108378344462, whole genome shotgun sequence.
GGCCUGCUAGCUCAGUCGGUUAGAGCGUCGUGCUAAUAACGCGAAGGUCGUAGGUUCGAUCCCAGCGCAGGCCA